CCUACGGGAGGCAGCAGUGGGGAAUAUUGCGCAAUGGGGGAAACCCUGACGCAGCAACGCCGCGUGAGUGAGGAAGGACUUCGGUCUGUAAAGCUCUGUUAAUGAGGAAAAAAUGGUAGUUGGUCUAAUAGGCCGAUUAUUUGAUGGUACUCAUAGAGGAAGCACCGGCUAACUUCGUGCCAGCAGCCGCGGUAAUACGAAGGGUGCAAGCGUUGUUCGGAUUUAUUGGGCGUAAAGCGCGCGUAGGCGGACCUGCAAGUAAGAUGUGAAAUCUCGAGGCUCAACCUCGAAACUGCGUCUUAAACUACAGGUCUAGAAUCUCGGAGGGGGAAGGGGAAUUUCGCAUGUAGGGGUAAAAUCCGUAGAUAUGCGAAGGAACACCAGAGGCGAAGGCGCCUUCCUGGACGAGUAUUGACGCUGAGGCGCGAAAGCGUGGGGAUCAAACAGGAUUAGAUACCCUGGUAGUCCACGCUGUAAACGAUGAACACUAGGUAUUGGAGGAUUUGACCCCUUCAGUGCCGUAGCUAACGCGUUAAGUGUUCCGCCUGGGAAGUACGGUCGCAAGCUAAAACUCAAAUUGAAUUGACGGNUGNGNGNGCGAGACGACGACGAGGAGAGG
rnacentral:rRNA from 1 species